UUUUUUAUUAAAAUAUAAUAAAAGAAAAUAUAAAUAAUAAAUGUGCAAUAUAAAUGUUUAAAUAGAUUAAAAAUGUUUAGAAUAAAUAUUCGUAAAGGAUUAAUAUAUAGAGGUCAAUUUUGCAGAUCGAUGCAUAAGCCAAGUCACGAGCAUGUUAGUAACGAUGAGAUUAUGUCUCCCGCCAACGGACAAAUAGAAACGAUCGUAACACAAAAUAGGUUAAGAAAAAAUAUAAAAUAAUUAUUAGAAUAAUAUGGAAGGCUUCGAUGAUCGAUACUAUGUUAGCAAUAGAUAUCGAAAGCAUGAAUAAGAUCGAUAAAUAUAGAACAAUGACGAUAUAAAGAGAUACGUACGAAUAAAAUGAAUGGGAAUAAAUAACGAGGUAUAUUCAAAAAAAAAAAAUAGGCAACUAUUCUCACCUAUCAUCUUCUUCUGUUCCAACGUUUGAUGCUACAAUAGUUUGAACGUUGUUUUUGAAACUCUUCCUCGAAAGGAACAGCUUAUCAAGCAAAGGCAUCAUAAACGAACGAUCGUUUAUAGCUACCGCAUUGCUUGCUAACUUUGUUUCGUUUUCGGUCUAUCAUGUCACAAGGAACUGCACCAUACAUGUUCACGAGUAUCAGUCAACUGUAAAUAAAGUCACGUGCGGAAGAGUCAUAUGAUUGCCCGAGAUUACUAUGUCCCGUUCAGUCGACAUCGAAUGGAAUGUUUUCCGGCUCUUUUCUUUCUUUGCUGUCACUAUUUAUUUCACUUCUUACAGGCCAGGGAACCGGUUCAAUGAAAUGCUGAUAAAAAUAUCAAAAGCAUGAUAAGAAUAGGAAAAAAAACAAAUUCGUACAAUCGAAAUGAUUAUUGACUGCGCAUGAUAAUUUGAUUAUGAUAGAAGUUAUAGAAUGUACCGCAAGAGUGCAGUACUCAUCAAUAUAACGAUUUCGUUGCAAUCAUAUUUGAAUUUUUUUUAAAAUUUUAAAAGUUAUUAGACGAUAAAAUAUUUUCAAGACGAUAACAUAACAGUUUCAAAUGGUUAGAUCUCGGCGUACAGGAACAUCAAAAUCAAUAUUUCUACGCAUUUUAUUAGCCAAUAUAAGACGAUGAACAUAUUCUGUAUCCCUAAUAUCUUCUGAUGUAUCAAACGCUCGUUUAACAUAAUUUUUAUUUGAUACUGGCAUAUAUACCGGAUAUUCAAUGUUAAAGGUUAUAAUUAGAUCUCCUUUUCCUUUUGGAUUUUCUGGUAAUGGCAAUCCUUCUCCAAGAUUUGUUAUAUUAAACGUAAAAUAAUUAUUCAUAAUUAUAAACAAACAAAGAAGGAAAUAAAAUGGAUUGGAAAUGGAGAUGGUGGCACGUACGUGAUGACAGACGUUAGUGGUAUUCGAAGGGUUCUGUCGUCGAGGGUGUCGACGGUGACCACUGUUCCGGUCAGUGCCUCUCGCAGAAAGAUAUCGACCGUCAUGUGCAAGUCAGAGCCCUCUCUUCGGAAGGUCUCGUGAGGCCGGUCCUCCGUGAUGAAGAUUACAUCCGCUACGUUGACGUGCUUAGGACUGAGUAAAGAUAUUAUGCGAACCACUACGAUUAACCCAUUUCUGUCCAUCAUGAAAUGAUGCAUUUUAAAUACAUUCUUUAUGAAAUUCGAACCAAUAUAAGCAAAAAUGCUAUAAUAAAUUUUUGUAAAGAAAAAAAAAUGAAUUUGAUUCUAUUUCUAUUUACGUAUUAUAGAAGUACGUAAU